rnacentral:rRNA from 1 species
UACAGAGGGGGCAAGCGUUAUUCGGAAUUAUUGGGCGUAAAGGGCGCGUAGGCGGCCUGGCAAGUGGAAGGUGAAAUCCCUCGGCUUAACCGAGGAACUGCCCUCCAAACUGCUUGGCUUGAGUCCGGGAGAGGUGAGUGGAAUUCCCAGUGUAGCGGUGAAAUGCGUAGAUAUUGGGAGGAACACCAGUGGCGAAGGCGGCGCUCUGGACCGAGACUGACGCUGAGGCGCGAAAGCGUGGGGAGCAAACAGG